UACGAACUGUGCAAACGUUAUUCGGAAUCACUGGGCUUAAAGGGUGCGUAGGCGGCUUAUCAAGUAGGGUGUGAAAGCCCCCGGCUUAACCGGGGAAUUGCGCCCUAAACUGACGAGCUAGAGUGGGACAGGGGUGUGUGGAACUUCCGGUGGAGCGGUGAAAUGUGUUGAUAUCGGAAGGAACGCCGGUGGCGAAAGCGACACACUGGGUCUCAACUGACGCUGAGGCUCGAAAGCCAGGGGAGCAAACGGG
rnacentral:rRNA from 1 species